GAUGAAGAACGCAGCGAAAUGCGAUAAGUAAUGUGAAUUGCAGAAUUCAGUGAAUCAUCGAAUCUUUGAACGCACAUUGCGCCCCCUGGUAUUCCGGGGGGCAUGCCUGUUCGAGCGUCAUUUCACCACUCAAGCCUCGCUUGGUAUUGGGCAACGCGGUCCGCCGCGUGCCUCAAAUCGACCGGCUGGGUCUUCUGUCCCCUAAGCGUUGUGGAAACUAUUCGCUAAAGGGUGUUCGGGAGGCUACGCCGUAAAACAACCCCAUUUCUAAGGUUGACCUCGGAUCAGGUAGGGAUACCCGCUGAACUUAAGCAUAUCAAUAAGCGGAAGA
rnacentral:misc_RNA from 1 species